rnacentral:rRNA from 1 species
AUAGGGGAGCCGGAGGGAAACCGAGUCUUAACCGGGCGUUAAGUUGCAGGGUAUAGACCCGAAACCCGGUGAUCUAGCCAUGGGCAGGUUGAAGGUUGGGUAACACUAACUGGAGGACCGAACCGACUAAUGUUGAAAAAUUAGCGGAUGACCUGUGGCUGGGGGUGAAAGGCCAAUCAAACCGGGAGAUAGCUGGUUCUCCCCGAAAGCUAUUUAGGUAGCGCCUCGUGAAUUCAUCUCCGGGGGUAGAGCACUGUUUCGGCUAGGGGGCCAUCCCGGCUUACCAACCCGAUGCAAACUGCGAAUACCGGAGAAUGUUAUCACGGGAGACACACGGCGGGUGCUAACGUCCGUCGUGAAGAGGGAAACAACCCAGACCGCCAGCUAAGGUCCCAAAGUCAUGGUUAAGUGGGAAACGAUGUGGGAAGGCCCAGACAGCCAGGAUGUUGGCUUAGAAGCAGCCAUCAUUUAAAGAAAGCGUAAUAGCUCACUGGUCGAGUCGGCCUGCGCG